rnacentral:rRNA from 1 species
AUUCCAGCUCCAAUAGCGUAUAUUAAAGUUGUUGCAGUUAAAAAGCUCGUAGUUGGAUUUCUGGUAGAAGUAGCGACCUUGGGUCUUUGACCUAUGAAGUUGCUAUCUUCAACCAUCCUUGAAGAGAUUUAGUUUGGCAUUAAGUUGUCGAACUAAAGAUAUUCAUCUUUUACUGUGAAAAAAUCAGAACGUUCAAAGUAAGCAUUUAGCUUUGAAUGUAUUAGCAUGGAAUAAUGAAAUAGGACUUAGGUACUACUUUGUUGGUUUAUGCACCUAGGUAAUGAUUAAUAGGGAUAGUUGGGGGUAUUCGUAUUCCAAUGUUAGAGGUGAAAUUCUUGGAUUUGUGGAAGACGAACAACUGCGAAAGCAUUUACCAAGGAUGUUUUCAUUG